CAUCACUGCCUCAGCUCCAUCUCAGAUCAUCAGGCAUUAAAUUCUCAUAAGGAGCAUGCACCUAGAUCCCUCCCAUGUGCAGUCUCACUCUGUCACCCAGACUGGAGUGCAGUGGCACAAUCUCAACUCACUGCAACUUCUGCCUCCUGGGUUCAAGCAAUUCUCCUGCCUCAGCCUCUUAAGAUGAUUUCUCAGCUAAAUGUUGAAAGAAGAGUAGAAGAUAUCCACAAGCAAAAGGCAGCAACACAAAGAAAGGCCAUGGUGUAUCUUAAGAAUGCAAGCAGUUAAAUAUGACUGCAGUGCAAGAUGGAGCAAGAAUUGUUGCUGACAAGUGGCUGUCUACCUGGGACUGUAUUUCCUUACAUAGAGGUGUGGUCACAUGACUGAAUCCUAGUCAAUUAGAAUGUGAGAAGAAACAAGUGUUUAUGUGACAUGGUAAAAAGCCCCAUAAAACUGCAUACCUCAGCCAUACCUCAGUUUUCUGUUGAAACUGCUAUCUAUAACCCAAAUGUGAAUAAGUAAUUCAGGACUGUGAUCCCCACCCUAUCCAGACAAUGUGUAAACAAAUGCUAAUCUUAGCUUUUGUGAACCACUUAAGUAACAAUCAGAAUGUCAAAUAGUCCCCUGGCCCUCGGAAUGUCCGGAAUCCCCUCACCCUCAUCUCCACCCAGAAGGUGAUUUGCAGAAUCCACUAGCCCUCAGAAUGUCUGAAGCCCCUCACCCCCAUCCCUGCCCCUCACCCUCACUCCCAAGGUAAUUUUUACCGGUAUAAAAGGUCUUGUCACCCUCUUUUACGGGGCCACGGGUAGGAGAGAUGUGAGUCCUCUGUGGUCGCCAGCAAUAAACCCUACAAUUUGGCAUACUUUUGUCUUGGU
rnacentral:lncRNA from 13 species